GACGAACGCUGGCGGCGUGCCUAAUAUAUGCAAGUCGAACGCACUCUCGUUUAGAUUGAAGGAGCUUGCUCCUGAUUGAUAAACAUUUGAGUGAGUGGCGGACGGGUGAGUAACACGUGGGUAACCUGCCCUAAAGUGGGGGAUAACAUUUGGAAACAGAUGCUAAUACCGCAUAAAACCUAACACCGCAUGGUGUAGGGUUGAAAGAUGGUUUCGGCUAUCACUUUAGGAUGGACCCGCGGUGCAUUAGUUAGUUGGUGAGGUAAAGGCUCACCAAGACCGUGAUGCAUAGCCGACCUGAGAGGGUAAUCGGCCACACUGGGACUGAGACACGGCCCAGACUCCUACGGGAGGCAGCAGUAGGGAAUCUUCCACAAUGGACGAAAGUCUGAUGGAGCAACGCCGCGUGAGUGAAGAAGGUUUUCGGAUCGUAAAACUCUAGUUGUUGGAGAAGAAUAGUAUCUGAUAGUAACUGAUCAGGUAGUGACGGUAUCCAACCAGAAAGCCACGG
rnacentral:rRNA from 1 species